UUGGCUUGUUUUACUAAUAAGAGUUAUAAGUGAAUAUGAAAAGGGAUAUUUUGAUGAAUGUAUUGAAAAUGAAAACAAUAUUGAUAAGCGUGGUGAAGAUAAAGAAUGAAAAGGAAGAUGAAAAAUUGGUACCAUUGAUGAUGGGAAGAACAUGAGCUACCGAAACAAGAGACGGUGAGGGUUGUGUCUUGCUUAUAUUUCCAUGUACCAAACUGUUGUAUUGAAUCCUUAUCCACCAAUCAAGUACAGCUAAGAGCUUUAAUAUGAGAAUCUAUAGACAUACUCUAGACUCCCCCAUUAAGAGCAUGAUUUACGUGAGGUUCUUAGGAAAAGUUCUUAG
rnacentral:lncRNA from 1 species